GAUUGGACUCACCGAGCCCUAAACAAACAGCGCUAGCCGAAGGGUGCCAGGCUGUGGGUCGGAACUGCUCUCUACAAGCUGCUGGGUGCGGAGCUCACAAAAGGGAUUUCUUUCGACAAGCUGGACAUUGGAAGAAGGCUGCGAGAAGGGAAUUGAACAUGAGAAACACUCUUGUGGGAGUGGAUUCUUACAGGAACACCCCAGUCACUGUGGCUUCAGCGUGGCUGCAUUUAUGAAAGGCUGGAAGUAGAAAACUCUGGAAUGGAGAGACUAGCAGCUGGAACAGGAUUCAAAGGCUUUAAAUUUUAACCCGAGUUCGAUCGAAAGUUACUACCACAAGAGACUGGCACGGGCCGGCCCAAUUCCCACCACGGCUUCCAGCGGCUUGCUUUGGGUUGUCCGCUAGGCGUCGAAGACUAGAGAACACACUGACCCUGGCGCCUCUGGGACAGAGGUGAGGAGUUCGACCCAAACGAACAGAUUCGACAACAUUCGGACUCUAGAGGCUGGGGAAGAAACCCAUAAUUUUACCGUCCUCAUUCCCAAUCAUUUUAGUAGUGCCUCCAACCACAAGAAAACCGAUAGAUCAUUGUUUUUCCUUUCAGGGCUCAAAAUUCACCUUUUAAACUUUUUUUAAAGACUAGCUUUCCGAAAGAGGAAUAGGUUAGAGAAAUAUUUUUUUUUCCAUCUCAGUUAAUGUAAAAAUAAAACCUGUCCGGUUGACUAAG
rnacentral:lncRNA from 1 species